rnacentral:lncRNA from 1 species
CCCCAUUGAGACCCAUCAGAGUCCAAACCCGCUUGCAUUUAUCUUGCCAGAUGCUGGAGGCUUUCCCAGCUAUCACUCGCUGUUGGAAAAUGUGAUUUCCCUUGAUCCCCCCAGCAGUGAUGGCUCUCAUACCAGCCUGCUGCUAGAGAAGAAGCUCUGCUCUUUCCUGGACAGCCUCAAGCAAUGCUUCAGAGAGAUGCCACAAGUUUUUGCUGUUAAUUGGAGCACAGACAGUAAGUGUGGAAAGCAUUUAGUCUGUUUCAACACACCCUCCACCUGGCAAGUUUCUGAAAUACCAGCAUAUCAGCAAUGGGUAAAAUCUGAUGGUGUUUGCUUUCUUCAAGGCUAUGUCAGUGCAUGUUGAAGCUAACAUCUCUCUGAAAGGCUAUGAGCCUUGGUUUGCUGCUGUAGCUUGCAUGACUGCAGUUGUACAAAAGCCUGCAGGAACAGCCUGUCACUUGUCCUUUUCCAAUGAAUAUCCUAAAUAGUUGUAAACAGCUAAAUGGAUCUACUUCAAUAAUCACUUAAAUUUGGCACUCAACAGCAGAAAAAUCCAACUGCAUUUAGUCAUAAUAUAGGAAAGUAACUGCAUUCAAAAGAAACUAAAAGUGGUACGGAAAAAAUAAUUCUUAAUGUCCUUAUCUUACUUUCAGUAUCUCCCAUAUAACAGCAUGUGCAGAUGC